AGAGUUUGAUCCUGGCUCAGAGUGAACGCUGGCGGCGUGGAUUAGGCAUGCAAGUCGCGCGAUUCUCGCAAGGGAAUAGCGGCAAACGGGUUAGUAACACGUGAGUAACUUACCCUUAAACCAGACACAGCUUCGUGAAAACGGAGGUAAUGUCUGAUAGUACCCCAUUACUACAUGGUGAUGGGUUUAAAGGCAGGGACCGCAAGGCCUGCCGUUUAAGGAUGGGCUCGCGUCCUAUCAGCUAGUUGGUAAGGUAACGGCUUACCAAGGCUUUUGACGGGUAGCUGGUCUGAGAGGACGAUCAGCAACACUGGGACUGAGACACUGCCCAGACUCCUACGGGAGGCUGCAGUCGAGAAUCUUUAGCAAUGGACGAAAGUCUGACUAUGCGACGCCGCGUGCAGGAUGAAGGUUUUCGGAUCGUAAACUGCUUUUGUCAGGGAAGAAACUUCGUCGUUUAAUAGAUGGCGAACUGACGGUACCUGAUGAAUAAGCCACGGCCAACUCCGUGCCAGCAGCCGCGGUAAUACGGAGGUGGCAAGCGUUACUCGGAAUCAUUGGGUGUAAAGGGCAAGUAGGCGGUUUGUUAAGUGAGGGGUGAAAUCUUCCGACUCAAUCGGAAAAUUGCCUUUCAAACUGGCAGACUUGAGACUGGAAGAGGGAAAUGGAAUUCGCGGUGUAAGGGUGAAAUCUGUAGAGAUCGCGAAGAACACCAGCAGCGAAGGCGAUUUUCUGGUCCAGUUCUGACGCUAAAUUGCGAAAGCUAGGGGAGCAAACAGAAUUAGAUACUCUGGUAGUCCUAGCCGUAAACGAUGAGCACUAGGUAUUGGAUCCGCAAGGAUUCAGUGCCGUAGCUAACGCAUUAAGUGCUCCACCUGGGGACUACGGCCGCAAGGUUAAAAC
rnacentral:rRNA from 1 species